GACGAACGCUGGCGGCGCGCCUAACACAUGCCAGUCGAACGAGCGAGAGAGAGCUUGCUUUCUCAAGCGAGUGGCGAACGGGUGAGUAACGCGUGAGGAACCUGCCUCAAAGAGGGGGACAACAGUUGGAAACGACUGCUAAUACCGCAUAAGCCCACGACCCGGCAUCGGGUAGAGGGAAAAGGAGCAAUCCGCUUUGAGAUGGCCUCGCGUCCGAUUAGCUAGUUGGUGAGGUAACGGCCCACCAAGGCGACGAUCGGUAGCCGGACUGAGAGGUUGAACGGCCACAUUGGGACUGAGACACGGCCCAGACUCCUACGGGAGGCAGCAGUGGGGAAUAUUGCACAAUGGGGGAAACCCUGAUGCAGCGACGCCGCGUGGAGGAAGAAGGUCUUCGGAUUGUAAACUCCUGUUGUUGAGGAAGACAAUGACGGUACUCAACAAGGAAGUGACGGCUAACUACGUG
rnacentral:rRNA from 1 species